rnacentral:rRNA from 1 species
CCUACGGGAGGCAGCAGUGAGGAAUAUUGGUCAAUGGACGCGAGUCUGAACCAGCCAAGUAGCGUGAAGGAUGACUGCCCUAUGGGUUGUAAACUUCUUUUAUGAAGGAAUAAAACGAGGCACGUGUGCCUUUUUGCAUGUACUUUAUGAAUAAGGAUCGGCUAACUCCGUGCCAGCAGCCGCGGUAAUACGGAGGAUCCGAGCGUUAUCCGGAUUUAUUGGGUUUAAAGGGAGCGUAGAUGGGUUGUUAAGUCAGUUGUGAAAGUUUGGGGCUCAACCGUAAAAUUGCAAUUGAUACUGGCAGUCUUGAGUACAGUUGAGGUAGGCGGAAUUCGUGGUGUAGCGGUGAAAUGCUUAGAUAUCACGAAGAACCCCGAUUGCGAAGGCAGCUUACUAAACUGUGACUGACAUUGAUGCUCGAAAGUGUGGGUAGCAAACAGGAUUAGAUACCCUUGUAGUC